AUUGAACGCUGGCGGCAGGCCUAACACAUGCAAGUCGAACGAGUGGCGGACGGGUGAGUAAUGUCUGGGAAACUGCCUGAUGGAGGGGGAUAACUACUGGAAACGGUAGCUAAUACCGCAUACCAUCGGGUGUGCCCAGAGGGGAUUAGCUGGUAGGUGGGGUAAAGGCUCACCUAGGCGACGAUCCCUAGCUGGUCUGAGAGGGUGAACAGCCACACUGGAAUGGAGACACGGACCAGACUCCGACGGGAGGAAGCAGUGGGGAAUAUUGCACAGUGGGCGCAAGCCUGAGGCAGCCAUGCCGCGUGUAAGAAGAAGGCCUUCGGGUUGGAAAGGACUUUCAGCGGGGAGGCGUUACCCGCAGAAGAAGCACCGGCUAACUCCGUGCCAGCAGCCGCGGUAAUAC
rnacentral:rRNA from 1 species